GAUGAACGCGGGCGGCGUGCCUAAUACAUGCCAGUAGAACGCUGAAGCUUGGUGCUUGCACCGAGCGGAUGAGUUGCGAACGGGUGAGUAACGCGUAGGUAACCUGCCUCUUAGCGGGGGAUAACUAUUGGAAACGAUAGCUAAUACCGCAUAAAAGUCGACAUUGCAUGAUGUUGACUUGAAAGGUGCAAUUGCAUCACUAAGAGAUGGACCUGCGUUGUAUAAGCUAGUUGGUGAGGUAACGGCUCACCAAGGCGACGAUACAUAGCCGACCUGAGAGGGUGAUCGGCCACACUGGGACUGAGACACGGCCCAGACUCCUACGGGAGGCAGCAGUAGGGAAUCUUCGGCAAUGGGGGCAACCCUGACCGAGCAACGCCGCGUGAGUGAAGAAGGUUUUCGGAUCGUAAAGCUCUGUUGUAAGAGAAGAACGAGUGUGAGAGUGGAAAGUUCACACUGUGACGGUAACUUACCAGAAAGGGACGGCUAACUACGUGCCAGCAGCCGCGGUAAUACGUAGGUCCCGAGCGUUAUCCGGAUUUAUUGGGCGUAAAGCGAGCGCAGGCGGUUAGAUAAGUCUGAAGUUAAAGGCUGUGGCUUAACCAUAGUACGCUUUGGAAACUGUUUAACUUGAGUGCAGAAGGGGAGAGUGGAAUUCCAUGUGUAGCGGUGAAAUGCGUAGAUAUAUGGAGGAACACCGGUGGCGAAAGCGGCUCUCUGGUCUGUAACUGACGCUGAGGCUCGAAAGCGUGGGGAGCAAACAGG
rnacentral:rRNA from 1 species